rnacentral:rRNA from 1 species
GACGAACCGAGCGAACGUUAUUCGGAAUCACUGGGCUUAAAGGGUGCGUAGGCGGUCUGAUAAGUCAGUUGUGAAAUUCCUCGGCUUAACCGAGUGGACUGCGAUUGAUACUGUCAGACUUGAAUCAGGUUGAGGUAGGCGGAAUGUGACAUGUAGCGGUGAAAUGCUUAGAUAUGUCAUAGAACACCGAUUGCGAAGGCAGCUUGCUGGGCUUAGAUUGACGCUGAGGCACGAAAGCGUGGGGAGCAAACAGG